rnacentral:lncRNA from 1 species
GCAGGAAUGUAAAAACGUUGAGAGAAUCUAGUAGCAAAAACACAAGUUACGGUACUGAGAAACAUGAGAAGAAUUGAAGUUUCUACACUUGCUGAUGCAAACGUACACUCACAGCUCGACGGUUGCACCGGGACCUAGGAUCGAUCACGUGAAAAACAUUCGGUUCGGUUCACGUACGUUUACCUCCCAAGAAAUCCACAAGCAGACGCAGAUACUUUGGCCGGCGGGGAAGAUGAACAACUUGCAUUGGCUGCAGGUGCGGCACAUGCGUAGUAACUAGUAGUAAGCCAGAAAUCAUAACAAAACCACAUGCAGACAGAAGCGACCAUUCCUUUCCAAGUUUGCAAACCCAGAAGCUGAACAACAAACAAAGCACCAACACAAUCACUUUGUGUUUUGCACACAUAAUUACAAAACCAUUCUGCGUGUUGACUGAUGGUGGAUUUACAUUAUCUAACUACUCCGUACAAAGAAGAGAAGCGAGUCAAUUACAGGAACUGCAUGCCGAACUGGAUGUGGCCGCUAUCUAAUCACCGGCCGGGAAUACAAUCACUGAGCGAGCUAGUUACACGGGAUCACUGAAAGCAUGUGGCAGGAGGAGCCGAGGCCAUCGUCGAAGUUUUGGGAGUAGCUGUGCAGGUCGUACCCGAACGACCUCACCGCGGCCCGCCUCGGCCGUGCCGUGCUUCUCUGCCUCCACGUGGACCGCAGCCUCGACAACAGCUGCUUCGCCGCCGCCGCCGCCGCCGACCGCCGGCAGUGGCCCCUCCUCCGGUUGCCGCCGGUGUACGCGCCCAGCUGAGACGCCAUCCUGUCCCGAUCGCUCACAGCUUAGAUGAGCCGCAGUAGCACGCUUGUGUGCCUCGUGUCUGAACUCUAUGCCUCUCUGACCCUGCAGCUGCGAACUUCUGAAUCACACCUUUGUCUCCGCUGGACGACGGCUGCCGUGCUGCGUAUUUUAUAAGCUCGAGUGCUCGACGGACCGAUUGGAUGGGAAUCCGAUGCAUUGGGCCGGUUCCUUCGUUACCAGAGAGCCGACGACGAGCCAACGUCGCCGGCCGGGCCCACUGACGCUCACGCACCGAGUCACUCACGUACGGGUACAGCCAGGGCGCCGGUGGCAUCCACUACGCGAGUCGGAUUCCCGAUCCGAAUGGUUUUCCAGGCAAAAAAAGCCGAUUCCGGGGGGCAUCUUUUUUGGGCGUCGCCCGCCAUCAGCCAGAAAAGAGGCUUGCUUGGCGACAGCCGGCAAAUGGCGACGGGGUGUGGGCGUGUGGCGUAACGGGAGGUCGGCUCCUCCGUGUCCUGCCCGAGGGAUCAUGUCCGAAACGAAAACCGACCGGCAGUUGGGCACGGCCUGUUCCAUCCAUGUGUGGAGCUGUAGGCAGGCCAACGAGGCCAUGCGCACGCAAGUAGCGUGCGCGAACGUGUGGAAUGUCACACAUGCACAAUGCGUUCGCCCGCAUGCAUAAAUAGCGCCGAUCGAUCAUGGCAUCUCAGGGUCCUCGUGAUCUGAUUUUUCCUUAAAAUUUGCUAGACUAAAUUAGAAUGCCCUUUACCACCCUAGGAAUGCGAUGCCACUGCUGCAGAUCGGCUGCACAAUUUGUUUUCCUUAAGUCAGCUGAUAGCUGAAAGCUUUAUAAUAAGAGAAUAGCUGCGUGCAUUUUUGCAGAGGCUGGAGAUACAUCUCUAUUUUCUAAAAGAAAAUCUAUGUUGUGCAUAAUACUUAUAUGUGCUUAGGAGGUGAAAACAUGGUCUUGUCCAGUCAUCAUUCGUUGAAUCGAGAUGGGAACAGACAACGUGUCAUCUACCGAAUACAACGGAUUUCUUCACCCCGCAAAUUAAAGUGUCACCAGUCUGAUCAAAUGAUUGAUAGCUGGGAGCGAGCCAGGAAGCUUCGAGUCAUCCGUUUGAUGCGACAUUUAUAUUGAAACCACAACAGUAGUAUCACAAACGGCACGUAUAUAAAGUUUUAAGAUGUCAUAACAUAAUCUUCAACACAUAUUCUACUAAAACAAGAACUAAUCAUGUCUAGGCUUUCUAGGUGGCCUAGGCAAGUAUGUAGCCCGAUUCUUGCUAGCUUGAAAUGUCUUCCUGAUUUCAUCUCCAUCAAUGCCUCUAAAAAUUUCCUUCUCAAUGUAGCACAAUAUCAAGCUACUAAGCCACUCAUCGUUCAUUCUAUUCCGUAGAUCUGUCUUGAUUAUAUUCAUAGCCGAAAAAGCUCUUUCAACAGAUGCUGUUGCUACUGGUAGAAGCAAUGCUAACUUAAUGUGCCGAAAGACCAAUGGAAAAGCAAUAUCUCUUUCAUGUUUAACCAUUUUUAUAGCCAAACUUCCAAAAUCAGGACAAUCUUUGAAUAAAUACUCUUUGCAUAUGUAUGACAAAGGUCUCAAGUUGAUCUCUUAUAUUAGAACGCUCAAUGUCAGUGAAAUCUUGAUCAUAUAUUUCAGUCAAUCGAGCAAUCUUUUCUAUAUCAAACUUAGCAAAAGAAUUUCUUGGAUCAAGACAAGCGAAGGAAACAAGCAACUCUGAUGAUACCUCAUUGAAGCGAUGGUCCAUCUCUGUCAUAAUAGCAUCAAGAGCAGCCAGGAAAGUAUCAACACAAUAAUGAUGUUCUUGAGUGAUUAAGUUACCAUCUAGCCUUGACCGACCCCAUCUAGGUAUUGUCUCAUCCAUGUUUGGCACUGGAAUCAUCUUAUCAUUGCAAAAUGAUAUGACUUCAUCAAGUAAUGGCUGCCAGCCUUCAUUUCUCAAAGUGACCAGCCGUGUUUCACAUCAAUAAGCAAUGACAAGGCCUGAACAAUAUUUUGAUCCUUCCGUUGCAGCAAGAGAGACAACUCAUUAGUAAUGCGAAGCACUUUCAACAUGAACUUCAUAUUCAAAACAAAAGAGAAGCUCUCCAUUUUGCGCACCAAACCACCUGCUCGACUAGUAUUACGCUCAUCCUCAUGAACCAUUGACAGCACCUUGACAACAGAAUUCCACAUUGACUCAAUACGAGCUAAUGUUGUUAAAUGAGAACCUCAUCUUGUACUUUGAUGCUUCCCCUUUCCUGAAAAGAUUUCACCACUUUCCAAUCUUUCCAAAAUUUCUUCUCGAUGCUUUGCGAUUAGCUUAUCUUUUCUUUUACAUGAUGAACUUGCACUAGUCACAAUUAAGCUCACAUAGUUGAAGAAAUCAUCAAAGGAUGAACAACUAGAUGUAACAGAAACAAUGACUAGUUGCAAUUGGUGGGCAAAGCAGUGAACAUAAAAAGCAUAUGGGUUCUCAUCACGAAUUAGUUUUUGCAAACCAUUGAAUUCACCUCUCGUAUUUGAUGCUCCAUCGUAUCCUUGUCCCCGUAGUCUACCAAUAGAUAAUCCAUAAUUGGCAAGCAUUUGAAGCAAAGACUUCUUUAGUGAUUUUGAUGUUGUGUCCUCAACAUGCUUCGGACCCAAAAACCUUUCCACAACCAUUCCUUAAUUGUUCACAAAUCUGCAAAAAAAAUGAUAAUACUAGUAUUAAUAAACAAGUAUAGCACAGAUGAAUAAUGAAUCUUUCUGAUUUACUCAUGUAACAAACUAACCUUACAAUAACAGCCAUUUGCUCUGCUAUUGAGACAUCACGAGAUUCAUCAAUGAGAACGGAAAAAAGAACGGUAAUGCUUCUUCUGCAUCAGCAACCACAGAUUGAACCUGCUCUUGAUCUUGAACCACACGGUCAACACCUUCAGAUUCCAAAGCAGCCACAUUUUGACUUUCCCUAGUACUUGGGCGGAGGAACCAGAACCAGAGCCAACACUCAAAUUCGAAAAGAAGCUCUUCAAAUCUACAGAAAUCACAUUGAGCACAUGAAUAAAUGCUAAGAGUUCCAAUUCAAUUGAGAGCAGAGGAUACUUGAUUUUACCCCUUGUUACCAUUUUCUUCUUGCCAAUUGGAAGACAGGGGCGAUUUGGGGCGCCUCGCCCUCGCCCAACGCCGACGCCGACCGGGACCAUGCUCUGCUGCUCAUCAUCAGGAGCUUCCGGUGCCGCCCCUCUUCCACGGCCGCGCAUUUUCCAUCUCCAUUUCUUUUGAGAAUCUAGCUAGUAUACGUCAUCUGUGCAUCCUCUGUUGAUAUAACGGCUAGAACCAUUUUCGCCUAUUAUAAUCGUAAGAGAAAAGUGAAUGCCUUACCGGUCUGUUAUUCAACAAUUCUUCUGAGCACGUCACGUCAGAUAAAAAGAAACGGAAACUAGAGUGUCCGAUGCUGUGUUGAAUGUUUGUACGAUCGAUAACGUAAAACACAUGCACAUCGGCCGUACUUUUCCUCUGUGCUGAAGAACCAGAGCACGGCCAGUACUGUGCGGCCAUCUUCUAAUUUCAGUGUUUAAUCUAGUGGCUUUGACAGCUUAUUAUUAACUGAUCUCCCAAAAAAAUCUACAAGAGGCGCAGAUAGUUUGGGAGAUGAGCAAACCACAAAUCAGAACAGAGAACAGAAGAUUUCAGGAUGAGAGGUUAGACAUAAUCUAUUCCAUUCCAAAGCUUUCAACAGCCGAACAAAGCAUAAUUUCUGCUGAUGGAUGGCAGGUAGGUUUAGUCUUGCACACACAUGCAGUAUAUACACAGAAGAAGCGAGUAGUGAUCCUGUACAAAGGCUGGACGAGCUAGCUUCCUAAUCGCCAUUGGAGAUCAGCUAAUAUUCUCCAGGUGAGUACUAGGCACAAUCAUUUACACACAUAACUAGAGAAGAAAGUGAAGGGAUAAUAGCAGCUCUAGCUACAACCGGCGGCGGUCGGAGGAGGCGAGGCCGUCGUCGAAGUUCUGAGAGUAGCUCUGCAGGUCGUACCCGAAGCUCACCGCGGCCCGACGCCUCGGCCGCGCGGCGCGUCUCCUCCUCCACGUGGACCUCAGCCUCGACAGCAGCUGCUUCACCGCCGCCGCCGACCGGCCGCCGCUCCUCCUCCGGCUGUUGCUGCCGCCGGUGUACAGGCCCAGCUGCAGAGACGCCAUCCUCUCCUAGCUCUCUCGAUCAGUCGAUCGCUAACACGAUCACAGUCGGAGCGUUAUGUUAUGAUCAGAACGCAGACUUGUCGCGCUCGCAAGUCGCAACUAGCUGCCCGCGGCCUCUCUGCUCGUAGCUACCUCUGCAAUGAAGCUUCUCAAGACCUUGUGCCAGAGAACGCACCCCAUGGUGCUGCUUUUAUAAGCUGGGGCAGGUGAUGUGUUCCGACACGCGUCGUCGCGGCGAGACCCGCCAGCAGCAUGGUGACGAGACAUCCACUACGGCGAUCGCCGUGUGGACGACGGUCCGGGCAAAAGCCGAUUCCAGGCAUCUUUUUCGUGCGGUCGAAAAGAAAAGGUAACCGUCGUCUAGCACGCACCAACCGCAGCACAGCAGCAUGCGUGUUUUUGUUGGUUUGGUGGUAGGCUUUCCUUACUCGGUUACUCCUUAGUGACCUGUCGAGCUAGCUAGGACGCAUCAUGCAUGAGAGAGAGGUGGCCACGGCCGUCGCCGGCCUGAACCGCUGCUAGUGAAGCGGAGGUGCGUUAUGGUCGGCGCCCUCGUGUCGUGAUGCCGAGCUAGUCUACCGUGCACGCGCGCGGGGGGCGCCGGUCGACUGGAAUGUCACCUGCAGAAUGCGUUUCCGCUGCCUGUCGCCUGCCGAUUGCCGAAUAAUCCCUGGGUGAGUUGGGCGAGGUGUUUUAUUUCAAAAAGGAAAAGUUGGCCGAGAUGUGAUGCGGCUCCAUUGUAUUGCUACUCGAGGCUACGAUUUGCCCGCGUGCACAGCAGUGCUCAACAUGACAUGUCAUCACAGCAGGCUGGGAUCUUAUCCUUGUAGAUGAAAGGCAAAUUGAAUCCAAAAGUAUAUACUCCACAACGUACACGUGUCUUAAAGCUUGGAACAUGGACACAUGGUCGUCUUUGGAUAAUCCUAAAAGAAGAUGACAUCGAGUCAUAAUCAUGCGUAGGAUUGAGGUGGGAGCGUAUUAGAAAGUGGUCUACUGACUACAACGAACUAGUGCAUCGUAAAGAAAGAGAAAGGGAACGCACUAGUGUUAAAGCAAAAAAAAAAACAUCGAGAUCAUUCGUUGAAUGGAUAUCGGGAACACAGAAAUUGUCAUGUUCCGAUGACAACGAAUUUUUACAUCCUGCAAAAGUGUAGUCGGAAAGAAAUUAAUUAAGGGGUGUUUGGCCCCUGUCACAUCAGAUGUUUGAUACUAAUUAGGAGUAUUAAACAUAGGCUAAUUACAAAACUAAUUGUACAACUCCUAGGCUAAAUCGCGAGACGAAUCUAUUAAGCCUAAUUAGUCCAUGAUUUGGCAAUGUGGCGCUACAGUAACUAUUCGCUAAUGAUGGAUUAAUUAGGCUUAAUAGAUUCGUCUCGUGAUUUAGCCUAAAGGUUCUGCUAUUAGUUUUAUAAUUAGCUCAUAUUUAGUCCUCCUAAUUAGUAUCCAAACAUCCGAUAGGUUAAAGUUUAGCCCCUACCUUCCAAACAUCCCAGCUAAAUGCACACUGAUGUCAAAGCAAUUUCGUCCUCUAGAAGGGGAGCGAGGAAGCUUCGAGUCAUCAGUCUGAUCGACGUAUUACACAAAAAGGAUCCAAGAAUUGGUGGUGGCAGCAUGGGGAUCGGUGUCGUACAGAUGAUCCGAGUCAUCGUGGUCCAAGGAUGACUGGCCAUAUUUUCGCUUUUAAACUUUUGCCAUGAUGUUAGAUUUUUGCUUGCGUGAUGCGCUCCCUUUUACACGGCUACUUCUCAGUACCUUUAACUUGGCUACAGAAAUUAAGAACAAAAUGAUUUUUCGUUUGGAAUCAGCUACAAAAGUUCCCACAGAAUUUGUCUAUUUAAGUAUUUUUCAACUCCACUUUUGAUUAGGAUUGUAAAUUUCGCCUUAUAAUGCAGCAAAAUAGUUAAAACAUGAGAAUCUAAGUAUAAAUAUUAGUCACGGUACUGCAAAACAUGAGAAAAAGGUGCAUGAUUUACUCUUUUGGUCACUUAUCGAAUACCUAUAUGUCUUGGUUUUUACAAAAUGGAACUUGUCAUGCUUCUGCAUUCUCGAUUAAUGCAGCGGCUAAGGUAAUUUUAUUUAAAUCCACUAUAUAUCCCAAAAGAAAAGCGAAUACCUGUCGGAUCAACAAAUUUUGCACGAGAACAUAUCACAUCAUCAGCUAAAAAGAAACCAAAACUAGAGUUUUAAAAUUUUGUGGCAUUCAUAAUUUCAGCGAUCUCACUGGCCACCGAAAAAUCCGCUAGAAAGCCGCAGACAGUUUGGGCCGAUGAACAACAACAAUCGGUUACAGGUUUGUGGCACAUAUCAGAACAGAGAAAGAUCUCAGAAUCAGGUUAGAAGCCAUUCCAUUCCAAGCUUCCCACAGCUGAACAAAGCAUAAUUUUGCUGAUGGAUGGCAGGUUUAGUUUAGUCUUGCAUACACAGCUGACUACACAGAAUUACAAGAAGCGAGGUGAUCCUGUACAAAUUAAAGACUGCACGAGCUAGCUAGCUAAUCAUCACUGGAAAUCGGCUAGUACUCUCCCGGUGACGAGGCACAAUCAUUUACACACAGAACUGGAGAAGAAACUGAAGGAAUAAUAGUACUGGCUCAUAGCUCUAGGUUCUAGCUACAACCGGCGGUGGUCGGAGGAGGCGAGGCCGUCGUCGAAGUUGUGGCAGUAGCUCUGCAGGUCGUACCCGAACCUCACCGCGGCCCUCCUCGGCCGCACCACGCGUCUCCUCCACGUGGACCUCAGCCUCGACAGCAGCUGCUUCGCCGCCGCCGCCGCCGACAGGCCGCCGCUCCUGGCAUGGAACCUCCUCCGGCUGCCGCCGGUGUACAGGCCCAGCUGCAGAGAUGGCAUCCUCUCUCUCGAUCGCUCACAAGUCACAAGCUAGGCACAAACUCUCUCGCAACUAGCUUCCCGGCCUCUCUGCUCGUAGCUACCUCUGCGACUGAAGCUUCUGAAGACCUUGAGCCAAAGAACGCACCCCAUGACCCCAUAUAUGGUGCUGCUUUGUAAGCUGGGGGCAGGGGAUGUGUUCCGACACGCGUCGACGUCGCGGCAAGACCCGCCAGCAGCGCGGUGACGAGGCUUCCACUACGGCGAUCGCCGGAAUGGUCUGGGCAAAAUCCGAUCUGAGGCAUCUUUUCCAGCACUGCUGUGGAAUGCCUUCGGUACCGGUCCUAAAGCCCGUUUGUACUGGUCGUG